rnacentral:lncRNA from 10 species
GGCAGGAGCGCACCGCGCUGUCUCCCUCCAGGGAUCCGCACCGCCCUACAAUCCUGCUUUGUGCUGAGAUUGUAGUCCUGCAGGCGUACAACUAACAAGCUGGGUGCAGAUAAGAGACUACAGCUCCCCGCAUCCCAAGCAAAGGUCCCUCCUCUACGGAGCCCCUCCACGCGUCCACUGCGGUUCCGCCGUGCCAAGGGGAGCUUGGCUGUUCACGGGCCUCACCUGCUAGCGAGAAGAUAGCUUGGCCGGGCGGCUGAUCUCACCUUGUAAUUCUGACACUGUGUCUCCCGGGCUUGUCGGCUUCAUGACUUGUGCCCAAAGUUUGAUUUCUCGCAGACCAGGUAAAAGCCAAGAGGCUCUCAUAGGCGCCUUGGCAGAGUUGCCAUUGGAACGGGCGUCCUCUAGUAGCUGGGAUCUCCCCGCCCCUUCCUCCUGAGGGGCCACUCCUUUCUGCCCCACCCUUCUUAUUGCCCCACCCUUUGCCACACUCCUUCAGAGAUGCGCAGUGCUGCCCCUUUCUAUGGGCAGGGCCGAAGGUCCGCGUGUAAAAGUACCCAGUCCCUGGUAACCUGACACUUCCCUUUUAAAAGCCACCUUUUGUCUAUCUCUGGCCUGCCACGAUUCUUCCUGUGCUCCAUAGGAGGACCCAUUGGACCCCCGGGCUGGCUGCAGGGCCCACACCUGGGUUAGACCUCGCACAGGGACGCUGCUGCCACUGUAAUAAAGCGUGCCUACACGCUUCUGAAACUGGUGUAGGAACAACCUCAGUUCUGUGAAAGGCGGACGCAGCAGGACAGAAUCUCCGUGGACAUCUGUCUGGAGGAGCAAUUUUACUGCGACAUUUUAAAGAAACAAAUUUAAUUGAUUUCCAAGGGUGUCCAUCGCGCUUCCUUCACUGCCUUGAUCAUGUCGGGGUCACCACCUGCGGGGGUUUGUCCUGCAGACCCUGACUCAACGACGGAUGAAUAAUGUACACUGACACAGAUCUUAUGCUUGUCAGUCCUGCUGAGCAUCCAGGCCACUUACAGACUCCAAGAAGAGUCCUGUCAGCCACGGCUCUGACUUGUUGGCCCUCCCGGCAUUUAUUUAGCACACAUUUAAUGACAGAAGUCUCAGGCUGGAAACACUCUUUUUGUAGAACAUACAAAUGGACAUUUCUAAGCACAUUGAGGCCUAUAAUGAAAAAUCAAAUAUCCCACAAUGAAAACUAGAAGGAAGCUAUCUGUGAUAAUGCUUUGUGGUGUAUGGAUUCAUCUCACUGACUGAAACCUGAGUUUUGAUUCACCAGGUUGGAAACACUUUUACUGUAUUAUCUAUGAAGAAACGUUUUU